rnacentral:lncRNA from 10 species
AAGUUAGAGAACCGGACCAAGCGAAAUACAGGGGCAGAGGAGGCAGCAGGGAGGCCCUGGGAGCUCUUUGAAUCCCCAGGUAGCCUAUUCCUGCCUGGCACCACUGGGAUUCAUCAGGAGGGAGGCCAGAGGAGCAGGAGGUGGGAGGCGGAAAGCCUCGGGCAAGUUUUCAAGCCCGUCCUCUGUCUGGAAACAGACUCAGAGGUGUUGCAGGGGACACGGUGGGAGUGAGACCAGCCCUUCGGUGUGCGUGGGAUCUGGGGGAGGCCUGUGACUGCCGGCUUUCCCCUGCUUCUCUGACAACCUGCAUGACUCAGCAGAGGCAGCCAUAAUCCUGGAGAGCCCCGGUUUAAGAUCUCCAGGUGAAGUAGAUUUUUAUUGUUUUGGUAUCAGAAUGAGUCUGCCUUCAAACAAUAAGUGAGGGAAGAGUCCCUCCUUCUCAACUUUUUGGAAAAGUUUCAGUAGGUACCAGAUCUUCUUUAGACAUCUGGUAGAAUUUGGCUGUGAAU